CCAGAGAUGGUUUCGUGCUCGAAAGAGAACCUGCACGCAGGUGCUGCAUGGCUGUCGUCAGCUCGUGUCGUGAGAUGUUGGGUUAAGUCCCGCAACGAGCGCAACCCUUGCCAUCAGUUGCUACGAAAGGGCACUCUGAUGGGACUGCCGGUGACAAACCGGAGGAAGGUGGGGAUGACGUCAAGUCCUCAUGGCCCUUAUAGGUGGGGCUACACACGUCAUACAAUGGCCGGUACAAAGGGCAGCCAACCCGCGAGGGGGAGCCAAUCCCAUAAAGCCGGUCGUAGUCCGGAUCGCAGUCUGCAACUCGACUGCGUGAAGUCGGAAUCGCUAGUAAUCGUGGAUCAGCAUGUCACGGUGAAUACGUUCCCGGGUCUU
rnacentral:rRNA from 1 species